rnacentral:rRNA from 1 species
UACGAAUGGGGCAAGCGUUGUUCGGAAUCACUGGGCUUAAAGCGUGCGUAGGCGGAUUUAUAAGUCAGAAGUGAAAUCCCCGGGCUUAACCCGGGAAUUGCUUUUGAGACUGUAAAUCUAGAAUCCAGGAGAGGUUAGCAGAAUUCCCAGUGUAGAGGUGAAAUUCGUAGAUAUUCGGAAGAACACCAGUGGCGAAGGCGGCUCACUGGCUCGAUACUGACGCUGAGGUGCGAAAGCGUGGGGAGCAAACAGG